CUUCUUCUGGAGCAGGCACUUUCUUGCAAUGUGAAGCGUGUAUCCAAGAACUCUUUCCGGCUAGCUUAACUGACGUAGCUGUGAUCAGGAGCACUUGGUAAGGACCAUCAAAUCUCGGCUCAAGGGUGUGUUUCCUGAGAAAUUUCUUGACCAUAACCCAAUCACCAGGGAGCAGCUUGUGUGUACCUGUAUUCGACUCAGGAUCUGGAAUAGAAGAAAACACUUGGGCAUGGAUUUUGGUCAAGGCAUGUGAGAGGGCAGUCACAUAAUCUACCAUAGUGUCUGACUGGAUCUGAAAUUGUUGAGGGAAGUAACAACCUAGUCUGGGUGCUGUACCAAACAAAAUCACAUAAGGUGAUAGGCUAUAUUUUCCCCUAGGGGUGUACCUCAC